UGACGAUUAUUGGAGGUGAUGGUAGUAGAGGAUGAAGGGGUAGAGGAUCGCAAGGUGGGUGGUCCAGAUCCAAAUCAAGGGACUAUAGUAAAAUUUGGUGUUACAGGUGUGAUGAGUUAGAGCAUCGAGUCAGAGAUUGUCCACAGUUCAAAGAUUGGAUGAAGGCUGCUGCGACGGCAGUCCAAGGUAGCAAUACAAAAGCAAGUGAUGAUGUUCUUCUGAUGUCUAAUGAGAUAUCUACUUCUUCUUCACAGUGAAUUUUAGAUUCUAUAUUUUUAUAUCAUGUUUGUUGUAGAAAUGAGUUGUUUGACUCCCUAGAGAGUAAU
rnacentral:lncRNA from 1 species